AAAAGGAAAAGGUAUUCAAACUUUGUAAAAUGCUUUGAAACUCUGGGUCAUUUGCUAAGCUCAAACAGAUUUUACCCAAGUUUAGGGGUAAGAAGCCACAGUGGCCACAGCAGGGAAACGUGAGCCCUCCUCCAUCCCUCCCCUUCCUGUCACAAGCCUUGUCUGCAGACUGCGGCUGGCUGGCGUCAGAGGAAAAAGGCUCCUUUAUGCUUCAUAGCUGAGACAUUCCCUAAACGUGAGCUCAUAGACACGGCCGCAGAUCAACACCAGUAGAUUUCAGACAUGGCCUAGGGAAGCAGACUGGCAGAUGAAUCAGAAAAGGCUGGGGCCUAACAAUGCAGUAUUACUGAAUCUUUUCAAAAUCUUCUCCUUGGCUUGGGUGAAAAAAAAAUCUCCCUAAAAUGCGAUGGCCUCAUCCUUCACUUCAUCCUUUGUUCUGUACAAGGCUGCAUGGAGCAAAGUUAGGAAAAACAAACAAAGGUACUGUUGUGUUCUGACUCAGCCUGUCCCCUGAGCCUCAGCAAAGCUGCUCUCAGAGGCCGACUGACGGCCCCGCAGCUGGGCUCUCUUCCUUUCCCACGUCACACCCAAAAGCAAAGCAGGGUCUUCCAAGCAGGCAGAGAAGAUCCGGGAGGUCAGGGCCAUGGGUUACCACGCUCACUCCCACGAGCCUCUACGGCACAGGCAGAGGCCCCUCAACUCACCGUCAGGGCGCUGGGACAGCACUGCAGUGAGGGAUGGAGCACCGUAAGGAAAGUAGGUCUUGAGGGCAAACUUCACCUGUAAGAGUCAAGAUGGAGUGGCAUGAAUGCUGGGACCUCUGCCUGCUCCCAGCCCUGGAGACCCACUGUUCUAACAGCAGGAGGUGGCCUCAGACGUUUUGUAAACAUGCUUCCCAUAACCUAAUCUCAUAAGCAGCCGAAACAACAUCCUUUAGCAAUCACCUUCUGGAACUCAGGGAAGUCACAUUCUCUUGCUGCCAUCUUUACCGAGGUGUCUCCUCACACAAGCCCAGCCACAGAAAUUAUCUUCAGUUUCAGAGAGGGAUGCUAAACACGCAUGGAACCCGGUGUCUCAGUGUGGCACAGUCAGGGUCUCUAACAAGCUUCUCUUAUGCUGAGGACGUGGGGUUAUACUUACAAACCAGUCAAAGGCACAGAGGUUUUGAAAUAAAGCAAACACUCAACAACAUAACCAGGUAAAGUCUAAAACACACGAGCUAUACAGGCCUACGUAUGCACACGGCUUGAUAAUCGUGGAUGAGUGUGUGAUUCCACCUGACCAGGACCUCAUCGUGACACGCACAAUGCUGCCAUCACUCGGGGGAGUUCCCUGUGACUCUUAAACCCUAGCCUGGCAAUCAGUAUUUUUAUUUCACACAGGAGAGAUCGAUAAUUAGGUCACUUAUUCCCCAAAGAUCACACAGUCAGACACGCUGAGUGUGCCUGCAUCUGCAUCUAGUCUUUUGCGCUGCUUAGAAGUCAUGAAUACACCAGGAUUCGCUUGUCUACCCCUCAAAGAUGAGUACAACUAAAACUGCCACUGGCAUGCAUGUCUAUUUUUGUGCCUAGGUCUUUCAGUUUCCUAGGGUGAGCACCAUGGGAGUGGUGACAUUUCAAGGCCAACAGUGUCCCUUCCCACCAUCACAGGAUGAGAAUUGCUUGCCAACACUGGGUGUUCUGGAACUCAUUGGUUUUAGCUGGUUUCCUGGCGUGAAACAUUACUUCAUACAUGCUUGUUUUUGAGCUUUCUCUGUGUGGCAGGUGAUGCUGAAGCCUGUUCAUGUGUGCAGCGUUACUUUGAAUAGCUUUCUGAAGUGUGUGACCAUAAAACAAACAGACAAACAAAAAAAACUGAUGUGUCUCCUAUGAAGCUGUAAGAGACAAGUCUUCCAGGAUAAAUACUGCAGAUAGUUCCUCUAAGCUGCUGGACAACCUGUUCAUCUUCCAAGACAUCUACUACAGAAUAGACAUGGUAUUUUAAUGCAAGUCCAAUUUAUCCAUCUUUUCUGUAUGGCCAAUGUUUUGUUUUGUUUCUUUUCUGUUUGGCAUUGUUUCUAGGAAAUCUUUGAUUAUCCAUUGUUAAAAAAGAGGAUAUGCUAUGGCAUUUUCUCCUAAGGGCUUUAUAGUUUUGACUUCUCUAUUGAAGCCUAUGACCCAUCUCAGAGCACCUUCUGGGUGCCUUCUAUGGAAGUCUGAGGUUUGCCCUCCCCACAAGUGGGUAUCCAGUGGUUUUACACCCUCUCUCACUAUGCUGCCCUGGCGUCUGUCAAAGCUCCUAUGAAUGCGUCUGUACCCUGCCACCCCUCACUGGCUUAAUUACUAUAGUGUGAGUCCUCAAGCUGUUUGCUUUCUGGCUUUUGUGGGUCCUUUGUAUGUCCAGCUUAGCCUGAGAAUCAGCCUGUGAAUUUGCAUUUGAGAAACCCUGCUGCAGGGGCCAGAGUCUGCCAUACAAGACCCUAGGUGUGAUUCCCAGCCUCACAGAGGCCAGAAUCUGUCACUCGAGGCCCUGGGCUUGAUUCCCAGCCCUGCAGAGGGGUCACUGCUCACCUGAGAGGAAACGAGGAACAGAAGGGCAGGCUGGGGAACAGACUUGGGGCUGCAUUAGUUGCCCUCAGCAACCAGCUCCCAGGUAUUCUGUGGGCUGGGCCUGUCCACACAUUCCGUUUCCUGCCUGUUUAUGAUCGGCAGGUCUCCUGGUGAACUGAUAGUCUGCCACUGUGACCGCCACUGUCUAAUCCUGUCUUCUCUACUCUACAAGUCAGUGUGCUCUCCACUCCUGAGGACCCUGCACUUCUUUCUAUGCAUCAGCUCUCUGUCUUGAGAAUGGGGUCUCUGAAAACAACACGUACUGGGUCUUGUUUCAGAUUCAAUCCGACAUGCCUGCCUUUUUACUCUCCAUCAUUUGAUUUUCCUAAUUGAACCUCCCUUCAACAUGUUGGGAUUGGAGCUGCUAUCUUUUGGCAUGGUUUCUUUCUGUUUCCUACCUCAGGAGUUCUGGGACCACCUUGAGUUAUGGUUCUACGCCCUGCUGUCCCAGGGGCCUUAGUGAGAAGUGGGCAUGGUUCCCCUGCUGAGGCCCUCCCUGCUCUUGUCAGCUGUGCCGGAUUUAACAGUACUCCACCCCGUGGGAUGGCAUCAUCUACAGGAGACUCAACAGUCAGGAGCUGUCUAUCUGUUCAACUGCUGGAAUCCACCCUGACCUGAGGCUGUCUGUGCUCCACAGAGGCUUAGAAUGUGAGCUCAAGUUCUCGCCUGCUGCUGAGCAGGGCACACAGGAGCGGCCCUUUGGACGCUUCCUUUGUGAACAAGGCUCCAUCAACAUUUCUGAACACAAGGCUGGGAGUGGAGCCAGUGUCUAAGCAUGCGCCUAGCACGUGUGAGGCUGUGGGUGGUCUGCAGUGCCAGGAAGACACGAUGUCUCAGGGUAAAGAUGCUUUCAGAUGGUUACCGAAUGCCCACGGAAAAUCCUGCACACGGAGGGGACUGAGCAAGCGGUUCACGGUGCGACGUACCUGCUUGUUCUCUCUUCCCAGAGCUUCUGCCAAGCACCAGGUGAAUACACGGAGAGCGGCUAGUACUUCUGGGGCUCCGUCAGUCUCCAGCAGCACAACCCUGAACAAAGUAAAGUGAGGAGACAACUCUGUGCUGGCAUGCCACGGCUUGGGCUCUGCCUCACUCCCUCCUGAGGGGAGGAAGGCCGGGAGGGGGCAGCCCCCCUUCCAGUCCCUGCCACACACCCUCCCCACGGGCUGGCUGCUGCGCUCAUGCUCAUGGCCCGGACAGUGCCAGCAACAGCAGGUGUUCUGUUUUCGCCAGCUGGGACAGAGCUCCCUGGAGAGUGGCACACUCCUGGGGAGUCGGGUGGACUUGGUUUGGUUUCCAAGCAUUUUUAUACAAUUAACUUUUCUUUUUGUUAAAGAAAAAAAGUUUUUUUUCAAACUUGACUAGCCUUAAAUAAAAACACUACCAGUACUCUUA